UACGUAGGCAGCGAGCGUUGUUCGGAAUUACUGGGCGUAAAGAGUGUGUAGGCGGUGCUCUAAGUUCGGUGUGAAAUCUCCUGGCUCAACUGGGAGGGUGCGCCGGAAACUGGAGUGCUUGAGCGUGGGAGAGGAAAGCGGAAUUCCUGGUGUAGCGGUGAAAUGCGUAGAUAUCAGGAGGAACACCUGUGGCUAAGGCGGCUCUCUAGUACGUGACUGACGCUGAGACGCGAAAGCGUGGGGAGCGAACAGG
rnacentral:rRNA from 1 species